GCGGAGAGGGGAGGUGACUCCGGCGGAAGAGGACAGGCAGAAUGCAGGCCCUGCGGGUGUCCCAGGUGCUGAUCCGCUCCUUUAGCUCCACCGCCCGGAACCGCUUGCAGAACCGAGUGCGCGAGAAACAGAAGCUCUUCCAGGUGGGUGGGGCGGGCGGCGGGGAUCCGACGCGCCAGCCGGGAGCGCACCAAGCCGGGGCAGGCGGGGCGCGCUCUAAGGAGCAGCCAGCACCCCUUUUUCAUCAGACACCCCCACAUCCAGGAGGACAAUGACAUCCCGUUGUACCUGAAGGGCGGCAUCGUUGACAACAUCCUGUACCGAGUGACAAUGGCGCUGUGUCUGGGCGGCACUGUCUACAGCUUGUACUCCCUUGGCUGGGCCUCCUUCCCCAGGAAUUAAGACCAAGAAGCCUGGGGGGCCUGAGGGACUUGGAAAGUGUCAAUAAACGCUGGCCUCUG
rnacentral:sRNA from 1 species